rnacentral:rRNA from 1 species
GCUCAGAACGAACGCUGGCGGCAGGCUUAACACAUGCAAGUCGAACGCCCCGCAAGGGGAGUGGCAGACGGGUGAGUAACGCGUGGGAACAUACCCUUUCCUGCGGAAUAGCUCCGGGAAACUGGAAAUUAAUACCGCAUACGCCCUACGGGGGAAAGAUUUAUCGGGGAAGGAUUGGCCCGCGUUGGAUUAGCUAGUUGGUGGGGUAAAGGCCUACCAAGGCGACGAUCCAUAGCUGGUCUGAGAGGAUGAUCAGCCACAUUGGGACUGAGACACGGCCCAAACUCCUACGGGAGGCAGCAGUGGGGAAUAUUGGACAAUGGGCGCAAGCCUGAUCCAGCCAUGCCGCGUGAGUGAUGAAGGCCUUAGGGUUGUAAAGCUCUUUCACCGAUGAAGAUAAUGACGGUAGUCGGAGAAGAAGCCCCGGCUAACUUCGUGCCAGCAGCCGCGGUAAUACGAAGGGGGCUAGCGUUGUUCGGAAUUACUGGGCGUAAAGCGCACGUAGGCGGAUAUUUAAGUCAGGGGUGAAAUCCCGCAGCUCAACUGCGGAACUGCCAUUUGAUACUGGGUAUCUUGAGUAUGGAAGAGGUAAGUGGAAUUCCGAGUGCUAGCA